rnacentral:ncRNA from 1 species
UAGAAAGCGUUGAAGAGAAGAAGUAAAAUUAAUGUAUCUUUACAGAGAAUUCCCCAUAAGCUGAGAGGGGGAAGAGUAAGUUGAUUUGAAUAACAUCUCUGAGCAGUGCUCCGAAAGAUAACAACCAGUAGGCAGUACCGGAUCUGCACCCGAUAUAGUGCUAGAGUAUAAUCAAUUUGCAUUAAUUGACGUACUUGAAGAGAUUGUUAUUGAAAAGUAGCAAUGAAUUAAGGUGGUAACGCGUGAGUAGUACUCUCGUCCUUUUA